rnacentral:rRNA from 1 species
AUUGAACGCUGGCGGCAGGCCUAACACAUGCAAGUCGAGCGGAUGAAGAGAGCUUGCUCUCUGAUUCAGCGACGGACGGGUGAGUAAUGCCUAGGAAUCUGCCUGGUAGUGGGGGACAACGUUUCGAAAGGAACGCUAAUACCGCAUACGUCCUACGGGAGAAAGUGGGGGAUCUUCGGACCUCACGCUAUCAGAUGAGCCUAGGUACGAUUAGCUAGUUGGUGGGGUAAAGGCUCACCAAGGCGACGAUCGUUAACUGGUCUGAGAGGAUGAUCAGUCACACUGGAACUGGGACACGGUCCAGACUGCGACGGGAGGCAGCAGGGGGGAAUAUUGGACAAUGGGCGAAAGCCUGAUCCAGCCAUGCCGCGUGUGUGAAGAAGGUCUUCGGAUUGUAAAGCACUUUAAGUUGGGAGGAAGGGCAGUAAGUUAAUACCUUGCUGUUUUGACGUUACCGACAGAAUAAGCACCGGCUAACUUCGUGCCAGCCGCCGCGGUAAUAC